CCUACGGGAGGCAGCAGUGGGGAAUAUUGCACAAUGGACGAAAGUCUGAUGCAGCAACGCCGCGUGGAGGAUGACACAUUUCGGUGCGUAAACUCCUUUUAUAUAAGAAGAUAAUGACGGUAUUAUAUGAAUAAGCACCGGCUAACUCCGUGCCAGCAGCCGCGGUAA
rnacentral:rRNA from 1 species